rnacentral:hammerhead_ribozyme from 1 species
AUACAGCUGACGAAUCUCAAAUAGGACGAAACGUGCGUCCUGGAU